rnacentral:rRNA from 1 species
AUAUGCCUUUAGGUGGGGGACAACAGUUGGAAACGACUGCUAAUACCGCAUAAUGUCUACGGACCAAAGAGGGGGACCUUCGGGCCUCUUGCCUUUAGAUUAGCCCAAGUGAGAUUAGCUUGAUGGUGGGGUAAUGGCCUACCAUGGCGACGAUCUCUAGCUGGUUUGAGAGGAUGAUCAGCCACACUGGGACUGAGACACGGCCCAGACUCCUACGGGAGGCAGCAGUGGGGAAUAUUGCACAAUGGGCGAAAGCCUGAUGCAGCCAUGCCGCGUGUGUGAAGAAGGCCUUCGGGUUGUAAAGCACUUUCAGUCGUGAGGAAAGGAGUGUAGUUAAUAGCUGCAUUCUGUGACGUUAGCGACAGAAGAAGGACCGGCUAACUCCGUGCCAGCAGCCGCGGUAAUACGGAGGGUCCGAGCGUUAAUCGGAAUUACUGGGCGUAAAGCGUGCGUAGGCGGUUCAUUAAGUCAGAUGUGAAAUCCCGGGGCUCAACCUCGGAACUGCAUUUGAAACUGGUGAACUAGAGUAUUGUAGAGGGUGGUGGAAUUUCCAGUGUAGCGGUGAAAUGCGUGGAGAUUGGAAGGAACAUCAGUGGCGAAGCGGCCACCUGGACAAAUACUGACGCUGAGGUACGAAAGCGUGGGGAGCAAACAG